AACAACUUCACCAGGAGAAUCAUUUCUAUAGUAUUUGUCUCUUGCUUUGGUUCCCAAAAGAGCCAUCGAAUCCACCCUGGUUGAUGAUUGCAUAUCCUCGACAUCCAAGAGUGAAUUUUCUGGUCCUCUCGCACCGUCCGCAAGGAUGGCGGCAGAAGCCUCGUGCAUCUGCUGUAUAGAGAGUUGUUUCUUCUCUUGAUGAUCUCGACCCUGUCGGCGGUCUUGCCUUCGGGCGCGCUGGCAGGGUGGAUGUCGAUGGACGUCUGACAGGC
rnacentral:snoRNA from 1 species